ACAUCAUGAUAAACAAAUUGUACAUUCAGGAACUCGUUUAAAUAUUAUAGGUUGAUUGACGAAUACUCUACAGUUGAUUAGAGCCCAUGAUGAUGCGAAGAUAAUUAAUCACCUAACUUAAAGAAGUGUACAUUCAUAACUCAUCUAACCAUUAUAGAUCAGUAAUGUCGUCAUAAUUUAAAUGAACUCACAGAUAGCAAUGGGGCACUGCA